ACAGAGGGUGCAAGCGUUAAUCGGAAUUACUGGGCGUAAAGCGUACGUAGGCGGUUUGGUAAGUCGAUUGUGAAAUCCCCGGGCUCAACCUGGGAAUUGCAGUCGAGACUGCCUGGCUAGAAUGCGGUAGAGGGAAGCGGAAUUUCCGGUGUAGCAGUGAAAUGCGUAGAUAUCGGAAGGAACAUCAGUGGCGAAAGCGGCUUCCUGGACCAGCAUUGACGCUCAGGUACGAAAGCGUGGGGAGCAAACAGGAUUAGAUACCCUGGUAGUCCACGCCAUAAACGAUGAGAACUAGACGUUGAGAGGGUUAGCCUCCCAGUGUCGUAGCUAACGCGCUAAGUUCUCCGCCUGGGGAGUACGGCCGCAAGGUUG
rnacentral:rRNA from 1 species